rnacentral:lncRNA from 1 species
UGGAAAGGGAUCCAGGUGGCAUCUAAAGUCGUCCUACCAGAGGAUGACUUUUUUUUGAAUAGUAUUUUGAUAUAUAAUUUUUAAAAAUAUUAUUUUGAUAAAUUAUUUUAAAAAUAAUACUAAAUGGGUAAAAAAUCUUCGGGGCUUCUAUUCACACAUGAUGAACAAAGCCCAUCAGAAUACCAACCGAGUUCUAAGACAUGUGGCGA